CACUGCAAGAAAAAGAAGUAUCCUCAUUGCCAUAAUAUUUCUGAAUAUAAAAGAGGCAUAAAUCACAAUAUUUCAGGAAAAAUGAAAAUCCCUCUCAAAUGUUUGCACCAAAUUACAUUGGACACUAAAUUGAAGUUAUUUUAAUAAACCUAAUCAUCAUAAAUUUCACUUUAUCAAACACAAACACUAGUCCAUAAAUCAAUCACGCAGAAUGCCCAAAAUGUCCUCAUCCCUAAACAAAUGAAACUCUUUGUCAUCAAGCUUAAUUUGAGAGCCACCAUAUUCAGGCAAGAGAACGUGGUCACCUUCUUUAACUGACACCGGAAUCAAAUUCCCAGAUUUGUCUCUCGAUCCAGGUCCAACAGCUACCACCUUCCCUGAAUUAAGCUGUUUUGAAACCAGAAUCAAUUAAAUCGAAAUCGAUUAACGCAGGGACAUAUAUAAAAAAACGAAGAAGAAAGUUUCUACAAACCUGGGAGGUCUUCUCAGGGAGAAGAAUACCGGCGGAGGUCUUGGAAGGAGGGAUGAUUUUCUCGACGAGGAUGCGGUUAAAGGUUGGAAUCAAACGCUUAGCCAUUGAUGGAGAUUUGAAGGAUUAUGG
rnacentral:lncRNA from 1 species